UAACGAUCGGAUUAUAUUGAUAGAAUUGUAUUUUCCAGAUAUCUAACGUUGUCGGUUGAGAAUCUCUGCUUGAGGGAAUCGUACUGAUAAGAAUGAAUUAUGCAGAUGAAUGUUGCGGCGAUGUCGCCGAUGUAUCAAACCGCCUCAACUAGCUCAUUCUCCUUCGUUAUCUAUUCAUUGACGAGCCCGACGUGCGCGACGUGAUCGUGGACCAGAAAUCCGGACUGUUCCCAUGUUCCACUUAUAGCAUUUGGUCCAAUCGCACGCGUCUGACUUUAGACGACGUCUGAUAGCCCCAGAGUCAACAUUACUCUCGAUAACGAUCGCGCGCAAACAUUUCUAUAUUUAUACGUUGAAAGCUCUGCGGGCAACUGGAUGUGCCCGCUCCUUCGGAUUUGUCGUUACUAAUCGUGCCAUCAAAGCCUUCCCGCUAUUUCCACAAGUGUAUUUGCAUCGUUCACUUGGAUAUGUCAAGUUGACGUUCAUUAAACGUUCCUGGAGAAGCUCGCUCUGGUACCGCUACACCGUCUGGUAAUACGCACAUUUGUCGCGAUAGAUAUCUAACAACCUCUGAAUAAAUCAGCGAUUUCGUGGGAAGGCCAUUCUCAUUGACAUACAUAUAUUGCCAGAAAUGCGUAGUCAUUAUACAUAAAAAAAAAUUACUAGCAUGAUGAAUACAAUAUGUCAUUACACUUCUCACGCACAAUAUAAAUUUGUACUAAUUAUAAGGCUCAAAGAGCUACCAGAACGAGGAACGAGGAUGUCAAAAGAAGACCGAUUUCGAGAAGCCGCAAGGUGGUCAGCUUGGUAUUCGGCACCGUUGCUAGUCGCCAGCGAGGAAACGGCGUCGCCCGGCUUCGCCACGGAGAACCCGGUAAGCCAUGACGAGGAAGGCCAGGGGUGGACGAGGGGCAACUUAAUGACGCCGCAUCCGGGAGUCGCCAGGACAUUGUACCUCGCAAAAAAGGACCUUAUAACGCGUCUACACAGCUGGACCCGCAUACUACGCUCGUCCGUGCUCGAAUGGGAGACCCCGAUCCAUUAACGGGCCGGCGCGAACAUUAAUAAUCCGCGCCUUCUCGCCCGGAUUGCUGGUGCGGACGCGCGAGCUGCAAGGUGGUGGCAACCUUGCCCAGAUGGAGUCAAUAAAUCAGAUUCGGGAAUGCCAUGCUAGAUUAGGCCCGGUUUUUGUCGAGCCGCUGAGUAACAGCUGAUGACGAGUGAGAGAGAGCGCAGGUUGAAAGUCGAUAUGUAUGAACAUAAUUGAAGCUGCAUAAAUAUUAGAGAAGUACGAGGAAUUGACAUGCGUGUUAAAUAAAAACACUUU
rnacentral:misc_RNA from 1 species